rnacentral:misc_RNA from 1 species
CAUCGCACUUCAACACUGCCACCAAACAACAAGAGCGCAGCGCGACGUUGGUGGUCCACGUCGUCAGUUCAACGCCUACUCUUUAUCCCCCCUGCUCCCUCCUGGAUGCUUUUCCGAGUGCGGCCAUUGGAGCUACGCACAUACACGGCGCGCAUUGCUGAGGAUCAAGCGGCACGCACAGGCACGUGAUCCACGCCCGCUAUCUGGUGCGCGCCAUCAAAACAACCCUUUCGAGCGAGAACGACUCUGCCGGCUCAUCAUGUCCUCGACACCCAACGCGCCUCGUCCGGUGAUUGCGAAGCGGCAUCACCCACCCCAGUACCUCGCGCCGGGCCAGCAUCUCAAGGUCGCCUCACGCAAGCCGGCUCCAAAGCAUGGGAGCGCGGCAGGGGGCGACACAUUCGCCGGCGGGCCGCCGCGCGAUCCAUGGGAGGACUUUGACGAAAGCAGCGAGGAGCCACGCCCCUCGUCGGCCGGUCACUCUGCGUCACAACGGCACCAACACACUACCACAGGCGGCGGCCACCCAUACUCGGGUCGAGUCAGCGUGUCACGCAGCACUGAGCGCACGUCGCCGCACAGCAAGGAGGGCAGUAUUGGUGGCUGGGCGGUGCCGCCGAAGGCAGCCCCACCCACCGACAGCCGGGCCGGAGUCGGUGACGAGGGCAUCGACCGCGGUGCAGCCGUCAGCAGCGACGAAGAUGACAGAUACUACACCAUCACAUCAGAGCCCCCAAAGCUGUCGGCGGCUGAGCGGGCGAAGCAGGUGCUCGAGGCGCAGCACCGCGCUCUGGAAGCGAAGCAGCUGAAGGCACUCACGCAGCAAGGGGUGGCGCGUCGGCCCACGACGCUGGUGCGCAAUCGACAUGGCAGGCUCAACGCGAUCGCUGCACAGCCAGCGUCCAGGGCAGCAGAAGAGGGAGGGCCCGCGCUGCUCAUCGCCGCUGCUCCUGUCAGCGCAAGCGUUCAGCCGGAGAAGAGCCGCGUGCGCUACUCGAAGGCGCCGGAAGCGCGAACGGCGCCGUCAGCGCCACGGGGCGGUGAAGGCGGUUCUGAUGGUGCGGUCGAGUCUCCUCGAGACUCCCAUGACGACCUUGUCGGCUCGUGUCCCUCGACGACGAUUCAGGCAACGACUGGUUCGCUGGAGAUCGACCUGGAUUGAGCAUUGCUUGCGUGCGCAUCUGGUGAAAAGCGCGACGCCCGCUGCCUCACUUGAAGCCAUCCUACCCCACCCUUCCUAUGUCUACCAUUUCACCCCCUGCUGUCUCCCGCUCUCGCUUUACGCGAUUUCCAGAGGGUGCAGGCGAUCCGCUUGAGUGAGCGCGACCCUGCGCACGAACGCGCCGUUGCGCUGAUUCUUCUCUAUUGUUGCUGCUCUCGAAAAGCGAUGGUGCUCUGUAUCCUGAGUUUUCCUGCCACUAGUC